CCUACGGGAGGCAGCAGUAGGGAAUCUUCCGCAAUGGACGAAAGUCCGACGGAGCAACGCCGCGUGAACGAUGAAGGCCUUCGGGUCGUAAAGUUCUGUUGUUAGGGAAGAACAAGUGCUAGUUGAAUAAGCUGGCACCUUGACGGUACCUAACCAGAAAGCCACGGCUAACUACGUGCCAGCAGCCGCGGUAAUACGUAGGUGGCAAGCGUUGUCCGGAAUUAUUGGGCGUAAAGCGCGCGCAGGCGGUUUCUUAAGUCUGAUGUGAAAGCCCCCGGCUCAACCGGGGAGGGUCAUUGGAAACUGGGAAACUUGAGUGCAGAAGAGGAAAGUGGAAUUCCAAGUGUAGCGGUGAAAUGCGUAGAGAUUUGGAGGAACACCAGUGGCGAAGGCGACUUUCUGGUCUGUAACUGACGCUGAGGCGCGAAAGCGUGGGGAGCAAACAGGAUUAGAUACCCUGGUAGUCCACGCUGUAAACGAUGAGUGCUAAGUGUUAGAGGGUUUCCGCCCUUUAGUGCUGAAGUUAACGCAUUAAGCACUCCGCCUGGGGAUACGGUCGCAAGACUGAAACUUAAGGAAUUGACGG
rnacentral:rRNA from 1 species